AUUGAACGCUGGCGGCAGGCCUAACACAUGCAAGUCGAACGAGUGGCGGACGGGUGAGUAAUGUCUGGGAAACUGCCUGAUGGAGGGGGAUAACUACUGGAAACGGUAGCUAAUACCGCAUACCAUCAGAUGUGCCCAGAUGGGAUUAGCUAGUUGGUGGGGUAACGGCUCACCAAGGCGACGAUCCCUAGCUGGUCUGAGAGGAUGACGAGGCACACUGGAACUGAGAAACGGGCCAGACUCCUAGGGGAGGCAGCAGUGGGGAAGAUGGGACAAUGGGGGAAAGCGUGAUGCAGGCAUGCCGCGUGUAUGAAGAAGGCCUGCGGGUUGUAAAGUACUUGCAGCGGGGAGGCGUUACCCGCAGAAGAAGCACCGGCUAACUCCGUGCCAGCCGCCGCGGUAAUAC
rnacentral:rRNA from 1 species